GUGAGUCAUCGAAUCUUUGAACGCACCUUGCGCCCCUUGGUAUUCCGAGGGGCACACCCGUUUGAGUGUCGUGAAAACCUCAACCUCCUUGGUUUCUUCUGGAGACCAAAGGAGGCUUGGACUUUGGAGGCCUUUGCUGGCGUCUCUCUUUUGAAGGCCAGCUCCUCUCAAACAAAUUAGCGGGGUCCUCUUUGCCGAUCCUCGACAUGUGAUAAGAUGUUUCCGUGUCUUGGUUUCUGGCUCUGUUGCUUUUGGGAUCCGCUUCAAACCGUCUCGAGCUUGCAUCGAGACAAUGUUCGAGCUUGUCUCCCUUCUCGGGAAACUCUCUCGACCCCACGAACCCUUGGCCUCAAAU
rnacentral:rRNA from 1 species